rnacentral:rRNA from 1 species
CCUACGGGAGGCUGCAGUGGGGAAUAUUGGACAAUGGGGGGAACCCUGAUCCAGCCAUGCCGCGUGUGUGAAGAAGGCCCUCGGGUUGUAAAGCACUUUCAGUGAGGAAGAACGCCUGGUGGUUAAUACCCAUCAGGAAAGACAUCACUCACAGAAGAAGCACCGGCUAACUCCGUGCCAGCAGCCGCGGUAAUACGGAGGGUGCGAGCGUUAAUCGGAAUUACUGGGCGUAAAGCGCGCGUAGGUGGCUUGAUAAGCCGGUUGUGAAAGCCCCGGGCUCAACCUGGGAACGGCAUCCGGAACUGUCAAGCUAGAGUGCAGGAGAGGAAGGUAGAAUUCCCGGUGUAGCGGUGAAAUGCGUAGAGAUCGGGAGGAAUACCAGUGGCGAAGGCGGCCUUCUGGACUGACACUGACGCUGAGGUGCGAAAGCGUGGGUAGCAAACAGGAUUAGAUACCCGGGUAGUC